CAAUUGGGAAUAAUGAUUCUUCUCUUCCAAAUAAGAAUAAUUUUACAACCAAUUAUGACAGUAAACCAGUUAGCAACACCGCCUCUAAUUUCGAGAAUCAAACUAAAGAUGAAAGGACUUCAGAGGUUUAUUCUCAACCAGAAGAAGAUCCGGAAUCAUUCUUACAACUUAAGCUAGAUGAUUACACAUGGCUUUCAAGAAUAUUGCAGCCAGAACCGGGAAA